GUAGGUGGCAAGCGUUGUCCGGAAUUAUUGGGCGUAAAGCGCGCGCAGGCGGUCCUUUAAGUCUGAUGUGAAAGCCCACGGCUCAACCGUGGAGGGUCAUUGGAAACUGGGGGACUUGAGUACAGAAGAGGAAAGCGGAAUUUCAAGUGUAGCGGUGAAAUGCGUAGAGAUUUGGAGGAACACCAGUGGCGAAGGCGGCUUUCUGGUCUGUAACUGACGCUGAGGCGCGAAAGCGUGGGGAGCAAACAGGGAUUAGAUACCCUGGUAGUCCACGCCGUAAACGAUGAGUGCUAAGUGUUAGGGGGUUUCCCGCCCCUUAGUGCUGCAGCUAACGCAUUAAGCACUCCGCCUGGGGAUACGGCCGCAAGGCUG
rnacentral:rRNA from 1 species